rnacentral:rRNA from 1 species
GAUGAACGCUGGCGGCGUGCCUAAUACAUGCAAGUCGAGCGAACAGACGAGGAGCUUGCUCCUCUGACGUAAGCGGCGGACGGGUGAGUAACACGUGGAUAACCUACCUAUAAGACUGGGAUAACUUCGGGAAACCGGAGCUAAUACCGGAUAAUAUAUUGAACCGCAUGGUUCAAUAGUGAAAGACGGUUUUGCUGUCACUUAUAGAUGGAUCAGCGCCGCAUUAGCUAGUUGGUAAGGUAACGGCUUACCAAGGCAACGAUGCGUAGCCGACCUGAGAGGGUGAUCGGCCACACUGGAACUGAGACACGGUCCAGACUACUGCGGGAGGCAGCAGCAGGGAAUCUUCCGCAAUGGGCGAAAGCCUGACGGAGCAACGCCGCGUGAGUGAUGAAGGUCUUCGGAUCGUAAAACUCUGUUAUUAGGGAAGAACAAAUGUGUAAGUAACUAUGCCCGUCUUGACGGUACCUAAUCAGAAAGCCACGGCUAACUACGUG